rnacentral:rRNA from 1 species
CCUACGGGAGGCAGCAGUAAGGAAUAUUGGUCAAUGGACGAAAGUCUGAACCAGCCAUGCCGCGUGAAGGAUGAAGGCCCUCUGGGUUGUAAACUUCUUUUAUCUGGGACGAAAAAAGCUCAUUCUUGAGCACUUGACGGUACCAGAGGAAUAAGCACCGGCUAACUCCGUGCCAGCAGCCGCGGUAAUACGGAGGGUGCAAGCGUUAUCCGGAUUCACUGGGUUUAAAGGGUGCGUAGGUGGGUCUGUAAGUCAGUGGUGAAAUCUCCGAGCUUAACUCGGAAACUGCCAUUGAUACUAUAGGUCUUGAAUCAUCUGGAGGUAAGCGGAAUAUGUCAUGUAGCGGUGAAAUGCUUAGAUAUGACAUAGAACACCAAUUGCGAAGGCAGCUUACUACGGGUGUAUUGACACUGAGGCACGAAAGCGUGGGGAUCAAACAGGAUUAGAUACCCUGGUAGUCCACGCCCUAAACCGAUGGAUACUCGACAUCAGCGAUACACUGUUGGUGUCUGNGNGAAGANAUAUAUCCNCCNCGGAGACGACGCGAGUAGACGUACGAAGAAGUAGAGCGNGAGAGNGCGACGGACGACGACGAGGGAGGAGG